GAUGAACGCUGGCGGCGUGCUUAACACAUGCAAGUCGAACGAACAGACCCUGCUUUUGUGGGUUGCUCGAGUGGCGAACGGGUGAGUAAAACAUGUGUAUCCUGCCCUUAUAUUUGGGAUAUCUUCACGGAAAUGGGGCUAUUACCGGAUAGGAGAUCCUGCUGCGCGGGGGGGGUUGGAGAGAUUCGGCUGUUGGGGAUGGGUUCGCGGCUUAUCAGCUUGUUGGUGGAGUAGUGGGUUACCAAGGCUUCGACGGGUAGGCGGCCUGAGGGGGUGACCGGCCACCUUGGGACUGAGAGAAGGCACAGGCACCUAAGGGAGGCAGAAGGGGGGAAGCUUGACCAAGGGGCGGAGGGCGGGUGCAGCAAGGCCGCGGGCGGGAAGACGGUCUUCUGGGGGUAAACCGCAUUCGCAUGUGACGAAGCGUGUGUGAAGGUAAUGUGUAAAGAAGGACCGGCUUACUACGGU
rnacentral:rRNA from 1 species